rnacentral:rRNA from 1 species
CCUACGGGAGGCAGCAGUGGGGGAUAUUGCACAAUGGGGGGAACCCUGAUGCAGCGACGCCGCGUGGGUGAAGAAGCGCCUCGGCGCGUAAAGCCCUGUCAGCAGGGAAGAAAAUGACGGUACCUGAAGAAGAAGCCCCGGCUAACUACGUGCCAGCAGCCGCGGUAAUACGUAGGGGGCAAGCGUUAUCCGGAUUUACUGGGUGUAAAGGGAGCGUAGACGGCCAUGCAAGCCAGGGGUGAAAGCCCGGGGCCCAACCCCGGGACUUCCCUUGGAACUGCAUGGCUGGAGUGCGGGAGGGGCAGGCGGAAUUCCUGGUGUAGCGGUGAAAUGCGUAGAUAUCACGCAGAACCACGAUUGCGAAGGCAGCAUACCGGUGCACAACUGACGCUCAGGCACGAAAGCGUGGGUAUCGAACAGGAUUAGAUACCCGAGUAGUC